rnacentral:rRNA from 1 species
CCAAAAGAUCGAAUGGGGAGAUUCAUCGUCAACGACGCCGGCUCCCGUUGGUGCGCGAUGCCCCGGGACGGACCUUUCGGGGUUCCGUUACCGUGUGGGCACACCAUCAUCGGCGAACGUUCCGGCGAAGUAGUCGUGCACUUCUCCCCUAGUAGAACGUCGCGACCCGUUGCGUGUCGGUCUACGGUCCGAGGCGGAGCCUCUCCGUGUCGCGUUUACGCGCGUUCGUGAGAGACCCUCGGUUAUACCCGGCCGACUGCGCGACGGUACACGAAACGGUAUCGGGCCGCAACCAAUCCAUUUUCGAAUGUGAAUGUGCGUCAGGACCGCCGCAAGCUCGGUCCAGUAAUUAUACCCGGAUGAACGGACUAUGCGCCGUUCCCGGGACUGGCUAGCUGUUGGCAGGCGGAGUCCUUGGACUGGCCAAGCUUCGAAUUACCGGUCGGCGACGCUAUUGCUUUGGGUACUUUCAGGACCCGUCUUGAAACACGGACCAAGGAGUCUAACAUGUGCGCGAGUCAUUGGGAUUUAUAAAUAAACCUAAAGGCGAAAUGAAAGUGAAAGUCGUCCUUUGCGUCGACCUAGGGAGGAUGGGCCUCGUUACGAUUAGGCCUCGCACUCCCGGGGCGUCUCGUUCUCCGAUUUAUUUCGCGAGAAGAGGCGCACCCAGAGCGUACACGUUGGGACCCGAAAGAUGGUGAACUAUGCCUGGUCAGGACGAAGUCAGGGGAAACCCUGAUGGAGGUCCGUAGCGAUUCUGACGUGCAAAUCGAUCGUCGGAACUGGGUAUAGGGGCGAAAGACUAAUCGAACCAUCUAGUAGCUGGUUCCCUCCGAAGUUUCCCUCAGGAUAGCUGGCACUCGUUCGAUAAAAAUGUGCGAGUCUCAUCUGGUAAAGCGAAUGAUUAGAGGCCUUGGGGCCGAAACGACCUCAACCUAUUCUCAAACUUUAAAUGGGUGAGAUCUCUGGCUUGCUUGAAUUAUAUCAAAUGAAGCCACGAGAUAUAUAUUUGGUUAAAUAUGAUUGGAUCAGAGUGCCAAGUGGGCCAAUUUUGGUAAGCAGAACUGGCGCUGUGGGAUGAACCAAACGCAGAGUUAAGGCGCCUAAGUCGACGCUUAUGGGAUACCAUGAAAGGCGUUGG